rnacentral:lncRNA from 1 species
CCCAAAGAAAAAAACAAAUGUUACCCAAUAGGCAAACAAUGCUGAGAGUUCACUUCCUCUAACUCUGUAGUUAAGUUACUCACUCAGUAUAACAUCACCCUCCUGCCAGGGGUUGAAGUCAGGAAGUAGUUUAUUUUCGCUGAAACUGAAGGGGGAAGUUAAAGAGAAAAAUAGCUGCAACUUGGUCAAUUCAGGAAAACCAGGUACGAAAAAAGAGGAGCAAGUUAAAGGGAAAGCCAGCUCGGAUUUGCUCACCAGUAAAAGGCAAAAAUCCCAGUGUUAUUCAUCUGCAUUUGGUGUGAAAGACAAAAGCUCAACUGGGAUCUGAGGCUUUCUGUGUCAGAGGGCAAGGAGUCAAUGGGGUUAUGAGGAAGUAAGACCACUUGAGACAUCAAAGAAAAGUAGAUCAAAUCACUAGACUCCUCCAAACAGGAGUGGGUGAAGACAAAAAGUGGAGAGAAUCCAGAGGGAAGAGAGGAGUAGGGAAAAUGGUGGAAAGGGAAGGUUUUUGAGAUGGAAGGCAGAGAAUGGGAACAAAAGAAGAAAAAGCUGUUUGUUUCAAAUCAAUAUUCUCCAAGAGGAUGUCUUGUUUCCCCAGGGAUAUUCUGAGGGACUCACAGGAUCAGAGCUGCGACACUUCUAACAUAUGAAUUCUCUCAAUUCUGAUGCCCUUUGACCUCUGCCACACAAUGCCAAGACAAACCCAGACCCCAGGCCCUGGAAACAGAGGAGGGGCAGUAUCAAUGUGAGGAUUAAAUGGGAUGAAAAAUAAAACAUCUGUCGGAGUGCCUGGAAUAUGGUACACAAAUAUCCAAGAUUGGAAAGAAGAAAGAAAAUGACGACAGAAUUUUGCAGUCUACAAGGCAAACACUGCCAUUCAUGUAGUUAUGGAGUUCCUACUAUGUGCAGACAAUGGGAAACUUUACGAAGGGACACAGAGGUUCAUGUGAUGUAAUAAGAAAGAAAUAAAGGAAGCUUUAUCUGCCGCUCUUUCAACCUCAUCCACUCAACACUUACCCCGUGACAGACCCCAAUACUCUUAAUGAAUUCCCAAGGUUACGAAAGAACUUGGAAGAUCUUACAUUCCUACAUGGUGAUUACAGAGGCUCACAUUUUGCCAAGUCAUAUGCAGGUGGCUGAAAAGUAAGUUUACUUUAUCUGCAUUUCAUAUUACACUUGUUCUUUCUUAUGAAUGUUUCUUUCAUAGUCAUGCAAAGUACUCAAUCAGUAAUUCCCCACCAAAAUGGUUGUUACAUAAGCGGCCGUGCAACAAUGCAUAUGUCAGCUCAGAUUCAUGUCAGAGAAAGUUCUCUAGUUUAUAUAACUCACUCCCCAGCAGCCAGUACACAGUUCAAAAAGUGUGGGCCUUUACAUUAUGGCGGGAGGGAGGUUAUUUUGUUUUGUUUGUUUUUUUUUAACACAUCACAUAAAUACACUUCCUUUCUCCUUUGUAACGUAUGGGAUACAUGGAAUUCCUAACUCACACAGAUCUCACUGUAGACCCAAUGAAUGGCACGGAGCCGACACAAACACCCACACACUUGUCUCAGUUACAGAUCUCUGCUAAAGACCAGAAGUUGGCCAUUACUAUGAAUAUACACUUCUGUUGGAUUUCUAUGGUAUUUGGUUUCAUUAGAUUGUAUGUUAAGUUAAAUAUGUUUUUUAAAGUUUCAUUCUCCUACCUCAAGUUACGGUGCAUCAAGGGGUCUCAGAGAGAAGUGGAGCUGCCACCUCAAUGUCCCGACCCCAGAGAGGAGCCUCUCAAGCCACCCCAAGGCAGCUGAGCCCCAGCUCGCACCAGAUCACUGUGGAGCAGAACCAAUUUUUAAAUGUCUUCAUCUGGUCCCUCCUACUUUUAUGGUGCUCUGGGGGUGGUGAGAAUCGGGAUGCACUGAAAGCUGCUGGGACAUCUGACUCUUUAUUUUCUUGGCUCUACGUGUCUUAACUCUGCACCAAUCCUCCCGACUGUGCAGAAUUUCACUUUGGAGAGCAGAGGCAAACGGAGAUUCACACAGAGGGGCAGGAGCCGUCAAUGCUGUCUAGUGAGAGGAGAGAAGAGGCAUUGUAAGUCCCCAUAGCACUGCUGUUGGGCUACCCUGCCAGUCAAUGCCACUUUUCCCACAGGCUCCAGCCUCAACUUCCCCUGGUGCAAUAUGAUGAUGGGAAGAAGGGCUCCUAAGAGGAAACUGAUUUAAGUAUCUCUGUUUUUCAGAAAACACUUCCAAUUGCUCUCUCAAGAAUGCGUUUCUAUUUCAUGAGUUGAUGUCAUAUUUUUAGGGGGAGGGAUGUAUGGAGAGAGAAAACUUUCAAAUAUCUGGAAAUCAGUGGUAUGAUGAGCCCUGUUCUCUGCUGCUCCAAGUACAAUACCAAAGCAUGUGGUGGAAGUGAUGGGACAGAUUUGGUUCCAUAUUAGAACUUCCUACUUGUAUGUUGAAUUUUAACGGAUGGCUGGGAGUAACAUCCACUUUACGGAGGUAUAUAAGCAAGCUCCAGACAGUAACUUGGUAUGGAGACUAUGCCAAGGAUCCCAUUGUCAGAAGGGAAGUAUGGUGUUGGGGAAGGAUAUUUCUCCCUCCCCUCCCCAUAGUGCCAUCCUCUGCUUAUAGAGGAGGAAAUAGCUACCCAAGCUUUAGCCCCUCCCGCUGCCCUAUGGAAGGAAUACAUUCCACUCUGAACUAAAGCUGGCAUCUUUGGUGCCACAUUUUAACAGAGGGUCGAGUUACUGUAUCUUGAGAAAGACAUGGGUACGUCAUGCUUCCUUCCACUAUCUGUACCCACUCAAAGUGAAUCGUUCCCCACUGUUCUCUUUAAAUUUUUGCUUCAUGUAGCAGAGAUUCAGGGUCUCGCUCCCCUUCUCCUCCUGACACAAAAGGCAGUCAGACUGAACAGUGGGAUAAGCCCUGAAGAUGGCUGGGAACAGCCACCGGUGGAAAGGGAACCCUUCUUUGCUGCCUUUCUCAUUGCCCCAGCACUGCUAAGUGCAGCAGAUUGGCCUUUUUCACAUUGCAGGGAUGAGAUCCUCAGGAUUUGAGAGGGUUCAUCUGGCUUCCAGGAUUAAACUGUGUUUUCAAAUCGAUCUUUUGACAAAGCCCAACAAUAGAGUUAUUUCUGUUUACCCAUGCAUUUCUAUUAACCCAAGGUGGUGCCUCCUUUCCCACUCAGCUAUCAAUCUUUGUAUGUAUAAUCAAACCCCCAAAUAUAUCUCCAACCAAACUUUCACAACUACAGUGGCACACUCACACAGAGUGAUCUAAAUGGAACACGGGUUUUCUAUAACCACAACCAAACCAUAAACGGCAUUUUAUAUACAUUAUCAUCCAGAAAGCAAUCAGAUUUUUUCAUAGCAAAUGGUAAGAUAUAAUAAAAGGAAAUUUGAGAAUUAUCAUAUAACUUAUAAUGUCUCUUUUAGCCCUAAGGUCCUAAGAUUCAGUGACAUGUGGUGUUUUCUCUUUUUCCUACCACUUUUUCAGCUUAAUUAUUAUCUACAGAGAUUAAAAACACAACUAAAAUUUCUGCAGAUUCACAGUGCUAUUUCAGAAUAGAUUUUACCCCUUAGUACCUUCUAUUUAAUCAAUUAAUGAGAAUACUUUGGAGCCCACUGCAGAAACUAUAAAUUCCAAAUGGUUCCUCAGAACAUGUCAUCAUCAAACCAGUUAGGCUGGCGUUGGUAAAUACCACAGCCUGCAGUUGCCAUGUGUUACAAAAACAAUAAACAGAUACCCUUCAUACCUCUCCCUUCCCUAAAACAAUUAUUCCUAUAAAAGUCUGUCUCUCCAGAUUUUUUGUUGUGGUGUUUCUGAUACCAGUACAAUCAGAAAGUAAUGAAAGUGUUCACUGAAAGGAAGUUUUCACUGAGCAUUGCAGGCCAAUGAGAAUGCAGAUUAACUCAAAUAAACUUUGGAAUGCCAGCCAAACCCAUGAAACUUGUCAGCAGUUCAUCUACUGAGAGUGGUUAUGCUUUUUCAGUAGUACCUUAUCCUGAAAUAACCUGAUGGAAAAGCCAGUGUCGGAUGACACAUGACAUCAAGUGUUCAAUGCAAAUUCUGCUGGCAUACUAUCCUGUUUGACUCCCUUGCUCUUGAGCCUUCCACAGUUGGUAAUAAGGAACUGAGUACCUUUGCAAUCUCCAGUAAAACAUGUGUGAUGGAAAUGUAAUUCCUUAGGGAAGCAAUUCCCAAUGGCAUACAUAGAUUUGAUUUUUGGGUUGAAAAGUAGUAAAUGACGAAUUGAAGUUUCUUUUUCUCUACUUAAAAACUAUUCUUGACAUUAAUUUUACUUGUAUUUGUUAACCAGUUUACAUUUUAUUUUGUUACUGAGACACUCAAAAGUGUCUAUAUUUUAGUCAAAGCUAAAACUGAAAGACUUUAGCAAAUUGACUUUUCUCUUUCUCCCAACAAACAUUAACUCAGUAUUUUACCUAGCUUUAUUUUCAAAUAUGGAGUUUUAUAGCACCUUGAUUUAUAGCUGGGCGUAAGAAAAGGUUAUGUCAGCAUUUACAUUAUAAGGCCAUGGUUUUGUGGUUUAUAACUAAGCCAUAAAAAUAAUUCUGACUAAAAUUUGGAAUGCCAGUUUCCACCUUGAAACGCAAGUGUGUCCCUAGCUGUAUGACCACACACACACACACACACACACACACACACAUCAGAAUUCAACAACUGCUGUUUUGUAUAAUACAUUUAUUCAAUAUAUUGCUUUGAUUAAAAAUGAACUCAAAGAAAGUCAAGGCUAUGAAGUGAAUUCAAACAAAGCUGUCAUCUAAUGGUAACAACUUAUAUCCUAAGAUAUAUUUUAGUAGAUUUGAAAGUUGAUUUAAUGACAAAAGAAUUUACUGUAUAGUUUUCAUAGUUAAAGAAUAAAGGACAGAAAGAUGAAGUGAGACCUCCACACACAAAAAAAUAGCCUUUUCUUAAUAAGAAAUGUUUGCAACAUUCUUCCACGCUGUAUGGUAGAUAUUCUCUGAAUCUCUUUGCAGAUGUGAUCUAACGUCCUUGAACACAUUUAUUACAAUCCAUCAUCUACAUGGCAACAGUCAGGGCCAUGCUCAUAAACCAGAACUGGUGCUAGAUCUGGUAAGUCAUUAAGCAAACAUAUUCCUGUGUUGUGCGUGGCGUGCAUGCCCACUGCCUGCCUAUAAAACGGAAAUAAGAUUUCUGAUUUGCAAAUUACCUCCUAAGACAUGUAAAGCUAGCUCCUUUAAUCCACAUUACUCAUUUUUGUAUUUUGACUGUUUCAAAUGCUAAAACAGACCUGAAUACAGUUUCCACAGUUCUCUUUAUAAUUAUUGUAUUUUUCAUUUACAUGAUCAUGAAACCUGUUAGCAAGUGAGAAACAGAAUCAUUUUCACUGAGACAAAAAAUAUUGAGAAUUAGGGGGAGAAACUCUGAAGCAAUAUAAACAACAGAGUCUAAUCUUAUCAAAGAGAGAAGGCAGUUGGUGAAUCUGAAAGAUCACUUACUUACCACUCAAUCAUAGAACUUAUACCCCCAAAUAGGAUUUAAGAAAGAAAAAAGCAAUUUAGUAGGAACUGGAAGUUAUAGGGCAUAGGUCUGCUUUAGUUGGUGACAAAAAUUAUGCCUCAGAGGUUAAGAGCAUGGAUUAGGGUGCUGGGUUGCCUGGUUUAAAUCCUAGCUCUGGCACUUACUACUGCAUGGUCCUUGACCAGUUAUUUAACUACUCUGUGCCUCGGCUUCCCAGUGUGGAAAGCAGAAAAACAGUAUCUCCCUUACAGAGAGGCUUUAAAGUUUAAAUGCAUUAACAAAGGGAAAAUCCUUUCAAUGUUGACACAUCAUGAGUGUGACAUAAGUAUUACCUAUUAUUUUUAUUAUGUGACCAAAUGUGGAAGAAAAAUUCUAUAAGAAAGUAGUAACAUUGUUUAGUCUUUCAAAAAUCAUAUAUUCUCCUCCAAUCCUGGCUCUCUGCAAUUCAAGAAAUCCUAACAAAUAGAAAACCUUUGUACACAGGAGAAAACGGAGAUGAGCAAAGGCAAUAUUUGGCUUAUUUGUUAUAACCCUAAUAAAACAAGACUGCUUGAAGAAAUAGACCAAAUUGUGGAAUGUUUAACAUUGAUCCAGGACUGGCUCUUCUGAGGAAAAGAUAUAAUAUUUAUCAUGUGGCCAAUUUUGUCUGUGAAGAUAAGGAGGAACUAAUCGGUCUCAACUUCAUGAUGUUGCUUAAAGGAGCAUAUAAAUGUACGAUCAUAAGUAUCCUUUAAAUGAAGGGGUUGGUUUUAUGACUGCAGAAGUGAGAAAGAGUAAGGUCAUUUAGCCUGAGCAACACAGCAAAACCUUGUCUCUACUAAAAAUUAAACAAAACAACCAAAAAAUCACUCAGGUGUGGUGGCGCAUGCCUGUGGUCCCAACUACUCAGGAGGCUGAGGUGGGAGGAUUGCUUGAGCCUGAGAGGUGGAGGUUGCAGUGAGCCUUGAUUGCGCCACAGCACUCUAGCCUGGGUGACAGAGCAAGACUGUCAAAAAAGGAAAGAAAAGAAAGAAAAGAAAAAGAAAGAAACUAAAACAGAAAGAAAAGAAAGAAAGAAUGGGAGAGAGAGAGGAAGGAAGGAAGGAAGGAGAAAGAAGA